rnacentral:rRNA from 1 species
AAUAGAUACCCUGGUAGUCCACGCCGUAAACGAUGGAUACUCGGCGUUCGGAGAGUUAACCCUCUGAGUGCCAAAGUUCACACAUUAAGUAUCCCGCCUGGGAAGUACGGUCGCAAGACUAAAACUCAAAGGAAUUGACGGGGGCCCGCACAAGAGGUGGAGUAUGUGGUUUAAUUCGAAGCAACGCGUAGAACCUUACCUGGUCUUGACAUUGUGAGACAUCCGCAGAGAUGCGGCUUUCCCUUCGGGGACUCAUAAACAGGUGCUGCAUGGCUGUCGUCAGCUCGUGUUGUGAAAUGUUCGGUUAAGUCCGGCAACGAGCGCAACCCCUGUCCUUAGUUACCAGCAUUAAGUUGGGGACUCUAGGGAGACUGCCGGUGUUAAACCGGAGGAAGGCGGGGAUGACGUCAAGUCCUCAUGGCCCUUACGACCAGGGCUACACACGUACUACAAUGGUGGAAACAAAGAGUCGCAAAACCGCGAGGUCAAGCUAAUCUCAAAAACACCAUCUCAGUCCGGAUUGAAGUCUGCAACUCGACUUCAUGAAGUU